UCGUCCUACGGGACGCAGCAGUGGGGAAUAUUGCACAAUGGGGGAAACCCUGAUGCAGCGACGCCGCGUGAGUGAAGAAGAAUUUCGGUAUGUAAAGCUCUAUCAGCAGGGAAGAAAAAAGACGGUACCUGACUAAGAAGCCCCGGCUAACUACGUGCCAGCAGCCGCGGUAAUACGUAGGGGGCAAGCGUUAUCCGGAUUUACUGGGUGUAAAGGGAGCGUAGACGGAGACGCAAGUCUGAAGUGAAAGCCCGUGGCUUACCCACGGGACUGCUUUG
rnacentral:rRNA from 1 species